rnacentral:rRNA from 1 species
GACGAACGCUGGCGGCGUGCUUAACACAUGCAAGUCGAACGAGUGGCGAACGGGUGAGUAACACGUGGGUGAACUGCCCUGCACUUCGGGAUAAGCCUGGGGAACUGGGUCUAAUGCCGGAUAGUGUGGGAUGGGCCCGGGGCCUAUCAGCUUGUUGGUGGGGUAAUGGCUACCAGGGCGCGACGGGUAGCCGGCCUGAGAGGGUGGACGGCCACAUUGGGACUGAGACACGGCCCAGACUCCGACGGGAGGCAGCAGUGGGGAAUAUUGCACAAUGGGCGGAAGCCGGAUGCAGCGACGCCGCGUGGGGGAUGACGGCCUUCGGGUUGUAAAUUACUUUCAGCGGGGAGGCGUUACCCGCAGAAGAAGCACCGGCUAACUCCGUGCCAGCAGCCGCGGUAAUAC